rnacentral:rRNA from 1 species
GACGGAGGGUGCAAACGUUGUUCGGAAUCACUGGGCGUAAAGGGCGCGUAGGCGGACUUGUAAGUCGGGAGUGAAAACUCGGGGCUCAACCCCGAGCCUGCUUCCGAAACUGCGAGUCUUGAGGACCGGAGAGGAAAGUGGAAUUCCUAGUGUAGCGGUGGAAUGCGUAGAUAUUAGGAAGAACACCCGUGGCGAAGGCGGCUUUCUGGGACGGUACUGACGCUGAGACGCGAAAGCGUGGGGAGCGAACAGG